GUUGAACGCUGGCGGCAUGCCUUACACAUGCAAGUCGAACGGUAACGGGCCUUCGGGUGCCGACGAGUGGCGAACGGGUGAGUAAUGUAUCGGAACGUACCUUUCAGUGGGGGAUAACGUAGCGAAAGUUACGCUAAUACCGCAUAUUCUGUGAGCAGGAAAGCAGGGGAUCGCAAGACCUUGCGCUGAUUGAGCGGCCGAUAUCAGAUUAGCUAGUUGGUGAGGUAAAGGCUCACCAAGGCGACGAUCUGUAGUGGGUCUGAGAGGAUGAUCCGCCACACUGGAACUGAGACACGGUCCAGACUCCUACGGGAGGCAGCAGUGGGGAAUUUUGGACAAUGGGGGCAACCCUGAUCCAGCCAUGCCGCGUGAGUGAAGAAGGCCUUCGGGUUGUAAAGCUCUUUCGGCCGGGAAGAAAUCGCACGGGCUAAUACCCUGUGUGGAUGACGGUACCGGAAUAAGAAGCACCGGCUAACUACGUGCCAGCAGCCGCGGUAAGAC
rnacentral:rRNA from 1 species